rnacentral:rRNA from 1 species
UACGGGGGGGGGCAAGCGUUGUUCGGAAUUACUGGGCGUAAAGGGCUCGUAGGCGGCCCUCUCAGUCGGAUGUGAAAUCCCCAGGCUUAACCUGGGAACGGCAUCCGAUACUGGAGGGCUUGAAUUCGGGAGAGGGAUGCAGAAUUCCAGGUGUAGCGGUGAAAUGCGUAGAUAUCAGGAGGAACACCUGUGGUGUAGACAGCUUACUGGACCAUUUCUGACGCUGAGACACGAAAGCGUGGGUAGCAAACAGG